rnacentral:rRNA from 1 species
AUGAACGCUGGCUACAGGCUUAACACAUGCAAGUCGAGGGGAAACGACGGGGAAGCUUGCUUCCCCGGGCGUCGACCGGCGCACGGGUGAGUAACGCGUAUCCAACCUGCCUCUGACUGAGGGAUAACCCGUCGAAAGUCGGCCUAAUACCUCAUGGCAUCGUCUGCGGGCAUCCAACGACGAUUAAAGAUUUCAUCGGUCAGAGAUGGGGAUGCGUCUGAUUAGCUUGUUGGCGGGGUAACGGCCCACCAAGGCGACGAUCAGUAGGGGUUCUGAGAGGAAGGUCCCCCACAUUGGAACUGAGACACGGUCCAAACUCAUACGGGAGGCAGCAGUGAGGAAUAUUGGUCAAUGGGCGAGAGCCUGAACCAGCCAAGUAGCGUGCAGGAUGACGGCCCUAUGGGUUGUAAACUGCUUUUAUGCGGGGAUAAAGUGAGGGACGUGUCCUUCAUUGCAGGUACCGCAUGAAUAAGGACCGGCUAAUUCCGUG